GGUUCGAUUCGAGCGAAAGCGAGAAAGCGUUGCCGCAGGCAACGACCCGAAGGGCGAAGCGCGCAGCGCUGAGUAAUCCUUCCCCCGUCAUCC
rnacentral:sRNA from 3 species